rnacentral:misc_RNA from 1 species
AAGGUAUCCCUCAUUCACACUGUAUGGAUAUCCAGAGGGAAAAAAUUUAUUCACAAAGGAUUCAACUAUCCGAAGAAGUAUUGAUCUUGAAUCAUUAACCACCUUCAUCUAUUAUCAUCACAAUUCCACCACAGGAGGGGACAGAAAGAAAGAUACAGAUUAGACAUACAAACAGUUAAAGAACACAGGUUAAACUCAAUGGAAAAAAAAAAGGAAAUACUAUUCAGUUUAAGUUUAGUACAAAUUGAAAUAUGCUGUAAUUAUUU